rnacentral:rRNA from 1 species
GACGAACGCUGGCGGCGUGCUUAACACAUGCAAGUCGAACGGAAAGGCCCUGCUUUUGUGGGGUGCUCGAGUGGCGAACGGGUGAGUAACACGUGAGUAACCUGCCCUUGACUUUGGGAUAACUUCAGGAAACUGGGGCUAAUACCGGAUAGGAGCUCCUGCUGCUGGGUGGGGGUUGGAAAGUUUCGGCGGUUGGGGAUGGACUCGCGGCUUAUCAGCUUGUUGGUGGGGUAGUGGCUUACCAAGGCUUUGACGGGUAGCCGGCCUGAGAGGGUGACCGGCCACAUUGGGACUGAGAUACGGCCCAGACUCCUACGGGAGGCAGCAGUGGGGAAUAUUGCACAAUGGGCGGAAGCCUGAUGCAGCAACGCCGCGUGCGGGAUGACGGCCUUCGGGUUGUAAACCGCUUUCGCCUGUGACGAAGCGUGAGUGACGGUAAUGGGUAAAGAAGCACCGGCUAACUACGUG